GGUGAGAUGGCCGAGUUGGUUAUGGCGCCAGGUUAAGGAAUUCUCCUUAGCAUAUUAUAUCCUGGUAGGGAAACCUGCGUGGGUUCAAGUCCCACUCUCAUCA
rnacentral:tRNA from 1 species